rnacentral:rRNA from 1 species
GUGGGGAAUUUUGGACAAUGGGCGCAAGCCUGAUCCAGCAAUGCCGCGUGCAGGAAGAAGGCCUUCGGGUUGUAAACUGCUUUUGUACGGAACGAAACGGUCCGGGUUAAUACCCUGGGCUAAUGACGGUACCGUAAGAAUAAGCACCGGCUAACUACGUGCCAGCAGCCGCGGUAAUACGCAGGGUGCAAGCGUUAAUCGGAAUUACUGGGCGUAAAGCGUGCGCAGGCGGUUUUGUAAGACAGGCGUGAAAUCCCCGGGCUCAACCUGGGAAUUGCGCUUGUGACUGCAAGGCUGGAGUGCGGCAGAGGGGGAUGGAAUUCCGCGUGUAGCAGUGAAAUGCGUAGAUAUGCGGAGGAACACCGAUGGCGAAGGCAAUCCCCUGGGCCUGCACUGACGCUCAUGCACGAAAGCGUGGGGAGCAAACAGGAUUAGAAACCCGAGUAGUCC